rnacentral:tRNA from 1 species
UCACUGGUGGUUCAGUGGUAGAAUUCUCACCUUCCAUGUGGGAGACCCGGGUUCGAUUUUCAGCCAGUGCA